UACGGGAAGGCAGCAGUGGGGAAUAUUGCACAAUGGGCGAAAGCCUGAUGCAGCUAUGCCGCGUGUAUGAAGAAGGCCUUAGGGUUGUAAAGUACUUUCAUCGGGGAGGAAAAACAAAACUAAUAAUUUUAUUUCUUGACGUUACCCGAAAAAGAAGCACCGGCUAACUCCGUGCCAGCAGCCGCGGUAAUACGGAGGGUGCUAGCGUUAAUCAGAAUUACUGGGCGUAAAGAGCACGUAGGUGGUUUUUUUAAGUCAGAUGUGAAAUCCCUGGGCUUAACCUAGGAAACUGCAUUUUGAAACUGAAAUACUAGAGUAUCGUAGAGGGAGGUAGAAUUCUAGGUGUAGCGGUGAAAUGCGUAGAUAUCUGGAGGAAUACCUGUGGCGAAAGCGGCCUCCUAAACGAAUACUGACACUGAGGUGCGAAAGCGUGGGGA
rnacentral:rRNA from 1 species